AUUGAACGCUGGCGGCAGGCCUAACACAUGCAAGUCGAGCGGAGCGGCGGACGGGGGAGUAAUGACUGGUAAUCUGCCUGUUGGUGGGGGAUACCUUCCUGAAACAGGCGCUUAUACCGCAUCCUAUCAAAUGACCCUAGGGCGGAUUAGCUAGUUGGUGGGGUAAAGGCCUACCAAGGCGACGAUCCGUAGCUGGGCUGAGAGGAUGAUCAGUCACACUGGAACUGAGACACGGUCCAGACUCCUACGGGAGGCAGCAGUGGGGAAUAUUGGACAAUGGGCGAAAGCCUGAUCCAGCCAUGCCUCGUGUGUGAAGAAGGUCUUCGGAUUGUAAAGCACUUUAAGUUGGGAGGCGUUACCAACAGAAUAAGCACCGGCUAACUUCGUGCCAGCAGCCGCGGUAAUUC
rnacentral:rRNA from 1 species